UUUUAAAUUGACUACGCAGGGAGCAGGGAAGGAUUAUUUUAAGAACUUUGCUCCAAAUAUAAAAUGACAUCAACUAUAAGUUAGCUUUUACGCAUUUCCCUUGUAAAAUAUUUCCAAAAUAAAUCACGAGCGCAGCAUAUCAUCGGGUGCUAAUGAAUGAGCUUUGUCACACGUAUGCUGUUUUUUUAGACGCGAAUACCAAUUAUACGUGUAAAAGAAAAACAUCCCAUGACCGUGACGAGAACUCAAUGUUUGUUGUCAACCGUCCACGUGAAGAGCAUUAGGUAAAAGGCAUAUGUACGUCCACUUCUCGCGUUGGUUAUCGCGUCAAACGCAAUUCACGGGCGUGUUAAUUAAUUACGGAAAAGAGGCUGUUGCUUAGCGGCGACUGUUUUCCUCGCAAUCUGGCGCUAAUUGGUCCCAUGUUGAAGCCCAGAUAUAGGCAAAUUAACGCUCGCGUCCGCUUGGCAUUCGGACGUUGAUUUCAACCCAGUUCGCACGACACAUUAACUCUGCUGGACAGGCAAGUUUUUCAAUAUAUUUUUUACGACGUAUCCCAGUGGCCUGUGCAAUGAUUAAAUAUCGAAAAUAUUCAAAAGUUAACAAAGAAAAAUAUAUAUUUCUGUUGGGUUUUAUAAAUUCCGAUGAAAGAUAUUUUAACAAAAAAAUACGCUUAAAUUGUUGCAAAUAAUUUAGAGCUGCCGCAUCGACUGAUACUAUACUCAUAACCGAAAUGCUUGAUUGCAUUUAUUUAAUUUUGGUUACAACUAUGAUAUCUCCAUAGGUCCAAAUAAAAAUUGAAAUGUUUCAGACUGCUAUGUAUGAUCCAACUAAUCCUCUCAUUUGGGCUUUGUGCGGUCUCAUCGUUUUAAUUGUGUUCCUUACCGCGUUGGUGAUUCGCCUCUACUGCAGGACUGCUCAAAUUAGCCCCUAUUUUGGACAAGAUGAUGAACCUUGCAGGGUGGUGACAGUGCAUUGGCCGCACGAAAAAAUACAGCCUCCUCCUUACGUCCCGCUCUCCAGACGGCUAGAUUCAGAAUCCAACUCAGAAAGUAUAGACUUUUCCAAGAAAUAAUUUAAGUUGAACUAGUUAAACACAAUCCUGAUUGAAAUAAAAUGGAGUAAUCAAUAUUUGA